UACAGAGGGUGCGAGCGUUAAUCGGAAUUACCGGGCGUAAAGCGUGCGUAGACGGUUAUUUAAGUCGGGGGUGAAAGCCCGAGGCUCAACCUCGGAACUGCCUUCGAUACUGCGGGUCUCGAGUCCGGAAGAGGCGAGUGGAAUUCCUGGUGUAGCGGUGAAAUGCGCAGAUAUCAGGAGGAACACCGAUGGCGAAGGCAGCUCGCUGGGACGGUACUGACGCUGAGACGCGAAAGCGUGGGGAGCAAACAGG
rnacentral:rRNA from 1 species